rnacentral:tRNA from 1 species
CAAGAGUUAGUUUAUUUAAAAUAAUGGUUUUGGAGAUCAUUGAUAGAAUUUUUUCUACUCUUGA